rnacentral:rRNA from 1 species
AUUAGGGGCCAUACCAUGUUGAAUGCACAUGUUCUCGUCCGAUCACCUUACUUAAGCAGCAUUGGGCGUGGUUAGUACUCUACCGGAUGAAUUAAAAGUUCGCAUGAGUUUUUAUUU